CACCUCCCAGGAUCGCAUCUGGAGAGCUCCCAGUGCUCUGCCAGCUUCGGAGGCGGGAGGAAGAGCCCCAGCAGACGAAGACCCAUUCCCUCACCGGCCCAUCCGUGGCCCCUGGGGGAAGGCAGUCUGCGACACGC
ensembl:snoRNA